AAAGUUCACCCGGUCAGGGGCGUCCGACCAGUCUCCCAGCAUGGCCUUUGGGAAGGGACGAGGCCUGCCCACGAUCCCCUAAUUUUAUAAACAUCCCAGCCUGAAACCAGAUUCUGAUAUGAAGCAGUGAGCAAUGCAGUGAUUCCAUAAGCCUGGAAAUUAGCAUAACCAGAAUAUAAAUUUUUUUAAAGCCACUUCCUAAGGACCAGCAUCUCUGUCUUGUUGUUUCAAGAGAUUGAACCGUACAACUGAUUUCAGACUUUGGACUUAAUUUCUUGCCUUCAGAUGCAUCUCCUCCUGAGUGAGCUCCCUUUUGCAAAGCGAGACCCCCACAAAGUUAAAUGCUUACCUGUCUGAAACCGUCAGGGUUACUGAAUACCUUUGAACAGGUAGUGGACCAAAAGUGCCAUUCACAUAGACUGCAUACAGCCUGCCCAGCUGCACCUGUUGGCCCAAUGACCAGUUUUCUGUUUCUUAAACUGUUGUUCACCUGCUAUGCUCUUUCUUGAGUACAUACCCUGGAUCCUGUGUUACUUGAUUUGUGUUUGUUUGUUUUUAUUUUAAAGUAAUAUUAUACCCUGUAUCACUGUGUACUAGAGUAGCACUUUUAAAGAGCAGUCUUCAUUAGAUAGCAUGUAAUGAGAUUGCUGCCCAGGUUUGUGAAAAUGAAAGUAGCUCAGUCGUGUCUGACUCUUUGUGAC